rnacentral:rRNA from 1 species
GAUGAACGCUGGCGGCGUGCCUAAUACAUGCAAGUCGAGCGAACGGACGAGAAGCUUGCUUCGCUGAUGUUAGCGGCGGGCGGGUGAGUAACACGUGUAUAACCUACCUAUAAGACUGGUAUAACUUCGGGAAACCGGAGCUAAUACCGUAUAAUAUUUUGAACCGCAUGGUUCAAAAGUGAAAGACGGUCUUGCUGGCUCGUAUAGAUGGAUCCGGGCUGCAUGAGCUAGUUGUUAAGUUAACGGCCUACCACGGCGACGAUGCAUAGCCGACCGCAGAGGGUGAUAGGCCACACGGGAGCUGGACCAGGGACAAGACUACUACGGGAGGCAGCAGUAGGGAAUGGUCCGCAGUGGGCGAAAGCCUGACGGAGCAACGCCAAGUGAGUGAUAAAGGCCUUCGGAUCGUAAAACUCUGUUACUAGGGAAAAACAUAUGUGUAAGUAAAUGUACCCAGCUUGACGGUAACGAAUCAGAAAGCAACGGCUAACUACGUG